UUAGCCGUCACCCUUUUGUAUUUGAGAGUAGAUGUUGUAUAGGGUGAGGUUGAGUGAUGGUAUUUAUAUUUUGGGAAGAAAGUAAAAGAUGUAAUCGAAUGUAUUAAGUCAAAUGAAUGUAAUAGAUAGCCUCUUCUCUCUUUAUGUACUUGUAUAUGUUUUUAUACUUGUAUUCUUGCUCUCGUCUUGUUGCACUGGUGGUGCUUCUUGAUCGUAUAUUUAUGAAUCAAUUCCUAGGUAAAUUCUUAUACACGAUCUGUUGGCUAGCCUUGGGCGGACAGGGGAGGUCCUGU
rnacentral:lncRNA from 1 species